rnacentral:lncRNA from 1 species
CGAAAGAAAUUAGGAUUCAUUUAUUCCACAAUUUUCAAUUGAUUUUACAAUGAUCAAUCAAAUGAAUCCUAACAAGCUCAAAGGGGGUUAACUAAGGAUUACUCCUCACAAGGUUCGUUGAUUUAAGCUUUUUGGUCAAGUGGUUUUUCUCACAAAAAUUGCCUCUAUCAUUUUCAAAAAUUUCACACAACAUUAGAUUGAUGCAUGAUUUAGCAUGAUAAGAAUGAGUCAAAAUAAUGCUCGGUUUCCCGCUUUUUUAGUGCACAAUGGAAAGUUUCCUCACAAAUGGUUAAGUCCUAUUUUGAUUCAAAACUGACAUAUACUUCAAUGAAUUUAUGAAAUGGAAUUUGCACACAACAUCAACCUACUCAUGUUAAGUCUAGAAAGCGAUAAAGUGUACCUUGAAAUGCCGACACUAAUUCUUAUCAUCACCACUCGAAGUAUCCUAUGCUUCUUUCUUUGCGAACAAUUCUUGGUUGCUUUAGGCUUGACUUAAGCGUAAGAACAAUUAAAUAGAACUGUUGGUAAACCAAUUUGAUUAAAAACACACUUAAAU